rnacentral:rRNA from 1 species
UACAGAGGUCUCAAGCGUUGUUCGGAUUCAUUGGGCGUAAAGGGUGCGUAGGCGGCGCGGUAAGUCGGGUGUGAAAUCUUGGAGCUUAACUCCGAAACUGCAUUCGAUACUGCCGUGCUUGAGGACUGGAGAGGAGACUGGAAUUUACGGUGUAGCGGUGAAAUGCGUAGAUAUCGAGAGGAACACCUGCGGCGAAGGCGGGUUGCUGGGCUGACACUGACGCUGAGGCGCGAAAGCUAGGGGAGCGAACGGG